rnacentral:piRNA from 1 species
UAUGAUUGUCACAGUUCCCGUUACCUAUGGU